GAAUUCGAUUAGAGUUUGAUCAUGGCUCAGAACGUACGCUGGCGGCACGCCUAACACAUGCAAGUCGAACGAAGUAGCAAUACUUAGUGGCAGACGGGUGAGUAACAUGUAGGUAUCUGCCCUUUGGCCUGGAAUAACACGAGGAAACUUGUGCUAAUACCGGAUAAGUCUUUACGGAGAAAGCUUUAUGCACCAUUGGAUGAGCCUGCACUUGAUUAGUUUGUUGGUGGGGUAAUGGCCUACCAAGACUGUGAUCAAUAGCUGAUUUGAGAGGAUGAUCAGCCACAUUGGGACUGAGACACGGCCCAAACUCCUACGGGAGGCAGCAGUGGGGAAUCUUGCACAAUGGAGGAAACUCUGAUGCAGCGAUGCCGCGUGAGUGAAGAAGGCCUUUGGGUUGUAAAGCUCUUUCGUCGGGGAAGAAAAUGACUGUACCCGAAUAAGAAGGUCCGGCUAACUUCGUGCCAGCAGCCGCGGUAAUACGAAGGGACCUAGCGUAGUUCGGAAUUACUGGGCUUAAAGAGUUCGUAGGUGGUUGAAAAAGUUGGUGGUGAAAUCCCAGAGCUUAACUCUGGAACUGCCAUCAAAACUUUUCAGCUAGAGUAUGAUUGAGGAAAGCAGAAUUUCUAGUGUAGAGGUGAAAUUCGUAGAUAUUAGAAAGAAUACCAAUUGCGAAGGCAGCUUUCUGGAUCAUUACUGACACUGAGGAACGAAAGCAUGGGUAGCGAAGAGGAUUAGAUACCCUCGUAGUCCAUGCCGUAAACGAUGUGUGUUAGACGUUGGAAAUUUAUUUUCAGUGUCGCAGCGAAAGCGAUAAACACACCGCCUGGGGAGUACGACCGCAAGGUUAAAACUCAAAUGAAUUGACGGGGACCCGCACAAGUAGUGGAGCAUGUGGUUUAAUUCGAAGAUACGCGCAGAACCUUACCAACACUUGACAUGUUCGUCGCGACUUUAAGAGAUUAGAGUUUUCGGUUCGGCCGGACGAAACACAGGUGCUGCAUGGCUGUCGUCAGCUCGUGUCGUGAGAUGUUGGGUUAAGUCCCGCAACGAGCGCAACCCUCACUUUUAGUUGCCAUCAUUUAGUUGGGCACUCUGAAAGAACUGCCAGUGAUAAGCUGGAGGAAGGUGGGGAUGACGUCAAGUCCUCAUGGCCCUUACGUGUUGGGCUACACACGUGCUACAAUGGUAUCUACAACAGGAAGCAAGACGGCGACGUUAAGCAAAUCCUUAAAAGAUACCUCAGUUCGGAUUGCACUCUGCAACUCGAGUGCAUGAAGCUGGAAUUACUAGUAAUCGUGGAUCAGCGUGCCACGGUGAAUGCGUUCCGCGGGUCUUGUACACACCGCCCGUA
rnacentral:rRNA from 1 species